rnacentral:rRNA from 1 species
CUACGUGCCAGCAGCCGCGGUAAUACGUAGGUGGCAAGCGUUGUCCGGAAUUAUUGGGCGUAAAGCGCGCGCAGGCGGAUCAGUUAGUCUGUCUUAAAAGUUCGGGGCUUAACCCCGUGAUGGGAUGGAAACUGCUGAUCUAGAGUAUCGGAGAGGAAAGUGGAAUUCCUAGUGUAGCGGUGAAAUGCGUAGAUAUUAGGAAGAACACCAGUGGCGAAGGCGACUUUCUGGACGAAAACUGACGCUGAGGCGCGAAAGCCAGGGGAGCGAACGGGAUUAGAUACCCUGGUAGUCCACGCCGUAAACGAUGAGUGCUAGGUGUUAGACCCUUUCCGGGGUUUAGUGCCGCAGCUAACGCAUUAAGCACUCCGCCUGGGGAGUACGACCGCAAGGUUGAAACUCAAAGGAAUUGACGGGGGCCCGCACAAGCGGUGGAGCAUGUGGUUUAAUUCGAAGCAACGCGAAGAACCUUACCAGGUCUUGACAUCCCUCUGACCGCUCUAGAGAUAGAGUUUUC